AGAGUUUGAUCCUGGCUCAGGAUGAACGCUAGCGACAGGCCUAACACAUGCAAGUCGAGGGGUAACAGGGGCUUCGGCCCGCUGACGACCGGCGCACGGGUGAGUAACGCGUAUGCAACCUGCCUGUAACAGCGGGAUAGCUCCCUGAAAGGGGAAUUAACACCGCAUAAGACCACGCUCUCGCAUGGGGACGGGGUAAAAUAUUUAUAGGUUACAGAUGGGCAUGCGUGACAUUAGUUAGUUGGUGAGGUAACGGCUCACCAAGACUGCGAUGUCUAGGGGUUCUGAGAGGAAGGUCCCCCACACUGGAACUGAGACACGGUCCAGACUCCUACGGGAGGCAGCAGUGAGGAAUAUUGGUCAAUGGACGCAAGUCUGAACCAGCCAUGUCGCGUGCAGGAUGACUGCCCUAUGGGUUGUAAACUGCUUUUAUAUUGGAAGAAUUGCGCUUACGAGUUAAGCGUUUGACGGUACAUUAUGAAUAAGGAUCGGCUAACUCCGUGCCAGCAGCCGCGGUAAUACGGAGGAUCCGAGCGUUAUCCGGAUUUAUUGGGUUUAAAGGGUGCUCAGGCGGGCCAUUAAGUCGGCGGUGAAAUUUUGCGGCUCAACCGUAAAAGUGCCUUCGAUACUGGUGGUCUUGAGUGUGGAUGAGGUAGGCGGAAUUUGUGGUGUAGCGGUGAAAUGCAUAGAUAUCACGAGGAACUCCGAUUGCUAAGGCAGCUUACUAAGCCAUAACUGACGCUCAAGCACGAAGGCGUGGGGAUCAAACAGGAUUAGAUACCCUGGUAGUCCACGCAGUAAACGAUGAUUACUGGCUGUUUGCGAUAUAUUGUAAGCGGCUGAGCGAAAGCGUUAAGUAAUCCACCUGGGGAGUACGUUCGCAAGAAUGAAACUCAAAGGAAUUGACGGGGGCCCGCACAAGCGGAGGAACAUGUGGUUUAAUUCGAUGAUACGCGAGGAACCUUACCCGGGUUUGAAUUGCUGAAUUUGCAUUUGGAGACAUUUGCUUCCCUUUUGGGUUUCAGUGAAGGUGCUGCAUGGUUGUCGUCAGCUCGUGCCGUGAGGUGUCGGCUUAAGUGCCAUAACGAGCGCAACCCUUGCCGUUAGUUGCCAUCGGGUCAUGCCGGGCACUCUAUUGGGACUGCCAUCGUAAGAUGUGAGGAAGGUGGGGAGGACGUCAAAUCAGCACGGCCCUUAUGUCCGGGGCGACACACGUGUUACAAUGGGGGGUACAGCGGGUUGCUACCUGGUGACAGGGUGCUAAUCUUUAAAACCUCUCUCAGUUCGGAUCGGAGUCUGAAACUCGACUCCGUGAAGCUGGAUUCGCUAGUAAUCGCGCAUCAGCCACGGCGCGGUGAAUACGUUCCCGGGCCUCGUACACACCGCCCGUCAAG
rnacentral:rRNA from 1 species